rnacentral:lncRNA from 10 species
GCAGUCUCGACUUUCCUGGGCUCAGCAAAAAAUUGGCAACACUCCAAACGCCCAUUACAAGAGGAUGGAACAGGAUAUAGAGUGGAUAUUAGCGAAUUAGGCCCAUACAUCUGCGUGGGAGCAUCUCAGAGAACGCAGGGGCGAAACGCCGGAAGGGCACACAAACCAAGCCCCGCCCCCGGGAACCCCGCUCCCACACGGAGCAUGCUGGAGGCUGAUAGGUUGGUUUGACCACGCCAGUUCCGCCUUCGCCUGCCCCCUUAGAGCCCCGCCCCCGCGCGGAGCAUGCUGGGGACAUACGGACUCACUUUCCU